rnacentral:rRNA from 1 species
UACGGGGGGAGCAAGCGUUGUUCGGAUUUACUGGGCGUAAAGGGCGCGUAGGCGGCGUGACAAGUCACUUGUGAAAUCUCCGGGCUUAACUCGGAACGGUCAAGUGAUACUGUCGUGCUAGAGUACAGAAGGGGCAACUGGAAUUCUCGGUGUAGCGGUGAAAUGCGUAGAUAUCGAGAGGAACACCUGCGGCGAAGGCGGGUGCUGGGCUGACACUGACGCUGAGGCGCGAAAGCUAGGGGAGCGAACGGG